rnacentral:lncRNA from 1 species
CCUUUUUGGAAUAGCAUUUUUUUUAUCUACUUAAUUUAUUUAUUCUUGUGGUACAUGGAUGAUGUGCACUCAAUCUCUCACUACAAACACAUACAUAGGGAGGUAAUGGUAGAAGUUGGGUUAGCUCGAUCCUGAUCCUCCGAGGAGUUGAUGAAUUCCUAAUGUGCUAGUUUGCUAGCUACACUGCAUCCCAUAUUAGAAUUAUUUGAUCGCUUUAGUUAACUUCAACAUACAGGACUCAAAUUGGUCCGUUGGAUUUGGUUUGAGAUGGCUCUUGUGCUGCCUUAUCCAUGCAAAUAGUUUUUAUCCCAGAUCUUUAUUCAAAACUACUAGUAUUUCCACUUCAUGACAAGUUUGAUAGCUAGAGUAGGUCAGAAUUUUUCUGAAAAUAUUUAAAGCAAAAAUAAACAAAUGCCAAGAUGCCUAAGUUUGACGUAGAUCCUUUGAAGUCAGCAAUUCUUGCAAUUAUAGAGCAUGUGGCAGAAAUUUAUUGAUCCGUGCACUCUGGUGCUGAUUCCAAUAGGUUGUUUUAAUAAAAAAAUUUAUGUCACGCAAAUCAAGCUUGCCCAUUAUUUGGGCGUAGAGGAUUCGCUGCCCCUAUAUUUUUGAUAGGCACGAGUCACAAGAUAGAUCGUUCACGGCCCCAAGCGUGCUAAGAUGGCGACAAAUUAAGCCCACGUUCUAAUCACCAUAAUGGUAUAAGAAUCUAUACUUAGUGUUUAGUUCCACAUCAUACUUAUAUUUUGACUAGCUAUUUUGGAUAAUAUUUUGAAUUAUUACAAAUAAUAUGAAAGCGGUUUUAGUUCAUAAUUUAUAUAGAUUAAAAAAUAAAUUUAAAUUUU